rnacentral:rRNA from 1 species
GUGAGGAAUUUUCCGCAAUGGGCGAAAGCCUGACGGAGCAAUGCCGCGUGAAGGAUGAAGGCCUAUGGGUUGUAAACUUCUUUUCUCAGAAAAGAAUUAUGACGGUAUCUGAGGAAUAAGCAUCGGCUAACUCUGUGCCAGCAGCCGCGGUAAGACAGAGGAUGCAAGCGUUAUCCGGAAUGAUUGGGCGUAAAGCUUCUGUAGGUUGUUUAAAAAGUAUUCUGUCAAAGAUUAGGGCUUAACCCUCGAUAGGCAGAAUAAACUUUUAAGAUAGAGGUUGGUAGAGGCAGAGGGAAUUCCCGGGGGAGCGGUGAAAUGCGUAGAUAUCGGGAGGAACACCAAAGGCGAAGGCACUCUGCUGGGCCAAUACUAACACUGAGAGACGAAAGCGAGGGGAGCAAAUGGGAUUAGAAACCCUGGUAGUCC